CAUGGAAACAGGCCCUUCGGCCCACCAAGUCCACGCCCACCAGCGAUCACGCAUAAUCAAGGACAAGUCGCAUCCUGGCCACUCCCACUUCUCCCCUCUCCCAUCGGGCAAGAGAUACAGAAGUGUGCAAAUGCACCCCUCAAACUUAGGGACAGUUUCUUCCCAGCUGUUAUCAGGCAACUGAACCAUCCUACCACAACCUGAGACCAGUGCAAUACAACUAUCUACCUCUUUGGACUAUCGGACUUUGCUGGCUUUACCUUGAACUAAGCAUUAUUCCCUCAUCAUGUACAUGUACACUGUGGACGGCUCGAUUGUAAUCAUGUAUUGUCUUUCCGCUGACUGGCUAGCGCGCAACAAAAGCUUUUCGCUGUACCUUGGUACACGUGACAAUAAACCAAACUAAACGUGUGAUCGCUGGUCGGCGCGGACUCGGUGGACCAGAGGGUCAGUUUCCACGUUGUGUCUUCAAACUAAACUAAUCUAAACUCCACAAGACAGCACUUCCCACCUGCCUGACUGAGAGAAACGUUGCCUUCAUCCAAACACGCUGUGUUUAUUCUUCCAAAAUGGUUUGGGCGUUUAUGACCCGUUCAGUAUCAGUAUCAGUAUCAGUAUAUCUUUAUUGUCAUUUCCUGAGUACUCACAUACCCAGAGGAAACAAAAAAACGUUGCUCAACCAGUGUCCAUUCAGUGUGCAGUACAAAUAACAACAAGUAAAUAGAAAUAAAAAUACAUAUAUCAUGAACAAAUUAAAUUAAACACUCUACUCUCUACUAAACAUCAACAGGCGUUCCGAUCGACAGCUGCUGCAGUGUGUCCAGGUUGGUGGUUGGUGCGCGAUACUUUGGCAGGGGGCAGAGUCCGUUUAUCAGUCUUAUAGCCUGCGGGAAGAAGCUGAGGAGCAUCCUGCUGGUUUUGCAGCUAAUGCUCCUGUACCUCUUCCCAGAUGGCAGGAUGGAGAAUAUGUGAUGCGAUGGGUGGUAGGGGUCUUUGAUGAUGGAGAUGGCUCUGCUGAUACAUCUCUUCCUGUAUAUGUCCAGCAGGAAAGGGAGUGGAGCACCAAUAAUCCUGCUGGUGGUCUUCACAAUCCUGUCAAGUUGGUGCCGUUCGUACGCCUUGCAGCUCCCGAACCAGGAAGUGAUGCCGUUGGUUAAUGUGCUCUCGACUGUCCCUCUAUAAAAAGUUCGUAGAUGUGUAGUGGGGAGACCUGCUUUCCAUAGUCUUCGGAGAGGGUGUAGUCGCUGCUGGGCUCUCUUGACCAGUGCUUGAUCAAUAUGCGUGCAUUUGGUUCCUGUCACAUCAGCAGUGGCAGAGAACACAAACAUAUUGCAGGUUCAUGUAAAGUUUGAGGAAGUCAGCGAUGACAUGUUUAGACAUGUUGAGAGCCUGCAUUUUAACACUUGGCCUGCUGCAUUCCACAGUGUGAAUGCUGAGACUGGGUCAUGUGAAGCAAUAACUCUGUAGAAAUAAGUAUUUAGCUUUGGACAUGAAAGACUAAAUAUUUGCACGGCUUCAACCCCAGCUGUACAUUGCCCCACCAUCUGUUAGUCAGCAAAAGCCACUUUUCUGAAGAAGAGUCUCGAUCCGAAACACCACCCCUUCCUCUCUCCAGAGACGCUGCCUGUCACCGCUGAGUUACUCCAGCAUCUUGUGUUUAUCUGCGGUUUAAGCCAGCAUCUGCAGUUCCUUCGCUCGACUUUUCAUCUGCGAAAUCUCCUCAAGGUGUUCAGUAGAGGGCACAUUGACUGGUUGCAUUGCGGCCUGGGGCAGCAAAUCGAACGUCCAGGAGUAAAGAAGACUUCAAAAACAUGUGAACACUGCCCAGUCCAUCACCGACUCUGACCUCCCCACUGUCGAAGGGAUUUACCGGAACCGCUGUCUUAAAAAGGCGGCCAGCAUCAUCAGCAUUUCACCCCUGCCGUCGGGAAGAAGGUACAGGAGCCUGAAAACUGUAACGUCCAAGUUCAGGAACCUCCUCAUCUCACAGUGGCCCAGCGGUAGAGUUGCUGUCUCACAGCGCCGGAGGCCAGGGUUCGAUCCUGACCAUGGGUGUACGGAGUCUGUACGUUCUCUACGUGGGUUUACUCCGAGAUCUCCGAUUUUCACCCACACUCCAAAGACGUACAGAGCUCGACAUCAUCGCACAAGUUCCAGUUCAACAGAAUAAAAAAACUCAGCGCAAAAUAUCCAAUUAUGCAGAAUGCAAAUCUCAGAUUGAGUUGCCAAUGCGUUUUAUCAUCAUCCCGCCCACGGCAUCCAGAACGCAGAGGCAACUGGAUCAUUGAAGGCCUUUGCUAAGUGAGGAGAUGCAUGGAGGAGACAACAGACAAUAGAAACAUAGAAACAUAGAAACUAGGUGCAGGAGUAGGCCAUUCGGCCCUUCGAGCCUGCACCGCCAUUCAAUAUGAUCAUGGCUGAUCAUCCAACUCAGUAUCCCUUACCUGCCUUCUCUCCAUACCCCCUGAUCCCCUUAGCCACAAGGGCCACAUCUAACUCCCUCUUAAAUAUAGCCAAUGAACUGGCCUCAACUACCCUCUGUGGCAGAGAGUUCACAAUGGGUGCAGGGGUAGGCCAUUCGGCCCUUCGAGCCAGCACCGCCAUUCAAUGUGUACAUGGCUGAUCAUCCACAUUGAGUACCCCGUUCCUGCCUUCUCCCCUUUAUCCCCUGACUCCGCUAUCUUUAAGAGCCCUAUCUAACUCUCUCUUGAAAGCAUCCAGAGAAUUGGCAUCCACUGCCUUCUGAGACAGAGAAUUCCACAGAUUCACAACCCUUUGGGUGAAAAAGUUUUUGCUCAUCUCCGUUCUAAAUGGUCUACCUCUUAUUCUUAAACUGUGGCCCCUGGAUCUGGACUCCCCCAAAAUCGGGAACAUGUUUCCUGCUGCUACCUUCCAGUGAAUGUUAUCACUGUACCCUUUAAGUUUGCGUGCAAAUGAAAUUUAUUUUGUGUACCUUGUGUGUGGUGACUGUUGGCAGACCAAUAUCCUUCCGGGGAUGAAUAAAAUCCUAUUGUAUUGUA